rnacentral:rRNA from 1 species
CUUUUCUUGUUAGUUUUUGAAGUAUGGCCUGCCCACUGAGUAUAUUUGAAGGGCCGCGGUAUUUUGACCGUGCAAAGGUAGCAUAAUCAUUAGUUCUUUAAUUGUGAUCUGGAAUGAAUGGCUUGACGAGAUGCAAGCUGUCUUAGGUUUGGUGAAAUUUUAGUUGAAUUUGGUUUCUGGGUUAAAAUACUCAGAUUUUUUUAUGGGACGAGAAGACCCUAUAGAGUUUUACACUUAUAUUUAUUGUUGUUGUUUAGUUUGGUUUUUAUUAUUUAAAUAAGUUUAUUGUGUUUUGUUGGGGUGAUGGGAAGAAUUUGUUUAACUCUUCUUUAUUUUUGUACAUUUAUUUGUGUUAUUAUGAUCC